GACCGCGUGGCCUAAUGGAUAAGGCGCUCGCCUCCGGAGCGGGAGAUUCUGGGUUCGAGUCCCAACCUAUUCU
rnacentral:tRNA from 1 species